rnacentral:snRNA from 1 species
UAAACCCGUAAGGCGCAA